rnacentral:rRNA from 1 species
GACGAACGCUGGCGGCGUGCUUAACACGUGCAAGUCGAACGAUGAAGAAGAGAAACGCGAACUUCGGUUCAAAUUUCACUUCGGAUUAGUGGCAGACGGGUGAGUAACGCGUGAGCAACCUACCUCUUACAAAGGGAUAGCCUCGGGAAACCGUGAUUAAUACCAUAUGACACAUUCAUAAGGCAUCUUAAGAAUGUUAAAGCUACGGCGGUAAGAGAUGGGCUCGCGUCCCAUUAGCUAGUUGGUGAGGUAACGGCCCACCAAGGCGACGAUGGGUAACCGGCCUGAGAGGGUGAACGGUCACAGUGGAACUGAGACACGGUCCAAACUCCUACGGGAGGCAGCAGUGGGGAAUAUUGCACAAUGGAGGGAACUCUGAUGCAGCGACGCCGCGUGUGCGAUGAAGGAAUUCGUUUCGUAAAGCUCUGUUCUAUGGGAAGAAAAGGACGGUACCAUAGGAGAAAGCCCCGGCUAAAUACGUG